rnacentral:rRNA from 1 species
UACGUAGGGUGCAAGCGUUAAUCGGAAUUACUGGGCGUAAAGCGUGCGCAGGCGGUUUGUCAAGUCCGAUGUGAAAUCCCCGGGCUUAACCUGGGAAUGGCAUUGGUGACUGCACGGCUAGAGUGUGUCAGAGGGGGGUAGAAUUCCACGUGUAGCAGUGAAAUGCGUAGAGAUGUGGAGGAAUACCGAUGGCGAAGGCAGCCCCCUGGGAUAACACUGACGCUCAUGCACGAAAGCGUGGGGAGCAAACAGG